GAUGAACGCUGGCGGCGUGCCUAAUACAUGCAAGUCGAACGGAAAGGCCUCUUCGGAGGUACUCGAGUGGCGGACGGCUGAGUAACGCGUAGGAAUGUACCCCAAAGUGAGGAAUAACCUCGAGAAAUCGAGGCUAAUACCGCAUGUGCUCUAAGGAGUAAAGCUUCGGCGCUUUGGGAACAGCCUGCGUAAGAUUAGCUUGUUGGUGAGGUAAUGGCUCACCAAGGCGACGAUCUUUAGCUGGUCUGAGAGGAUGAUCAGCCAGACUGGGACUGAGACACGGCCCAGACUCCUACGGGAGGCAGCAGUAGGGAAUUUUCCACAAUGGACGAAAGUCUGAUGGAGCAACGCCGCGUGCAGGAUGAAUGCCUUUGGGUUGUAAACUGCUUUUACUAGUGACGAAUAUGACGGUAACUAGAGAAUAAGGAUCGGCUAACUACGUGCCAGCCGCCGCCGUAA
rnacentral:rRNA from 1 species